rnacentral:rRNA from 1 species
AGAGCGAACGCUGGCGGCAGGCCUAACACAUGCAAGUCGAGCGCCCCGCAAGGGGAGCGGCAGACGGGAGAGUAACACGUGGGAACGUACCCUUCAGUUCGGAACAACCCAGGGAAACUUGGGCUAAUACCGAAUACGUCCGUAAGGAGAAAGAUUUAUCGCUGAAGGAUCGGCCCGCGUCUGAUUAGCUUGUUGGUGAGGUAACGGCUCACCAAGGCGACGAUCAGUAGCUGGUCUGAGAGGAUGAUCAGCCUCACUGGGACUGAGACACGGCCCAGACUCCUACGGGAGGCAGCAGUGGGGAAUAUUGGACAAUGGGCGCAAGCCUGAUCCAGCCAUGCCGCGUGGGUGAUGAAGGCCCUAGGGUUGUAAAGCCCUUUCGGCGGGGAAGAUAAUGACGGUACCCGCAGAAGAAGCCCCGGCUAACUCGUGCCAGCAGCCGC